AUUAUAAGCCUCUAUUUUAAUGCCUACUUACUAUGAAAGCUUGUGUCAAAAGCAGCACCUACCUAUAUAGACAUUUCAAAGGUUGUAAUUCCAGAGCAGGGAUGAAGCAACGCUCUUGGAUAUGUUCCCCAUCCAAGUGGUGGUUCAGGGAAGUUGAAAUAGGUCUGAUUAGGUCAGUGCUGAUCAAGUGAAUGCCUAAGAAGUAUUUGAGAAUAGCCACCAUGAUAAUGAUGCGGAGACCUCCUACAAGCCUAUUUCGGAUACUUUCUAUUUAUAUGAAGAGGGAGAGGAACUUUGCAUUCAUCAAGGGUAAAGCUUGGGCUGCAGCAGCCUUGUGGGAUCCUUGAACAGAAAUGGCAGAGUUGAAAUGGACAGUAUCAAGAUGCUAUUCCUCCUGCGGCCUGUGGCACUAUUCUUCCUCAGAUGAGGGAGGAGGUUCCAAACAAGCCUUCCCUUUAUCCCGGCGAGACAGUAUGUCUGUUUUCCAAGGUUGUAAGCCUUUCAGACAUGUUUGAGAAGAUAUCUGAAAAGAAAAGACUGUCAGGGCCCCAGCUUGAAAGAUAAACAGAAAUCUGAGACCAUGGAGAAUCUUCUCCCAACAAUAGCCUCCUCGGGAGCUUCUGCCUAUAUGUUCCUAGCUGGAACUGUGUCGUAUGGCCACCUCUACCUUCAAGGGAGGCUCUGAAAUUGAGUCUUUGGGGUUGGGCACAUUACUGCUCUAAAUAAAAUUGUGGUUCUUUCAGUAAGAAAAGGCAGGCGAGGGAUGGAGCUUCACAAGAACAAGGCAAAAACUGUGUCCAGGUGUUUUCCUCUGCAUGGCCAAUGUCUUUCCCCCGUUGCUUAACAGACCUUUUGACACUAUGUUUAUUGAUCCUGCCAGAAAUAAUUUAUACAACUGAGACAUAAGAAACCCCCUUGGUCAACUACCAUUUUACAAAUCUCAAAUAAGUUAUCAGUCGUUUAUGCAGAAUUUUAAUGUCACAAUUGUGUAAUAUCUAAGUGUACAAGCCCAUAAUUCCUUAGAAUUCUUCCCAUUAAAAAAAAAUCCUUAUUAGUUAUUUUGACAAGCCAUUUUGUGGAGGGGGUGAAUAAAAAUUCGUUCAACUUAAGAAAAUGUUUGUGUCAUGAAAUUUCCCCGCAUCUUUGAGUAUCUAUUGCUUAAAGAACACAUCUUACUUUGUGAACAGAUAGGUGUUUGGUAAGAGGUUUAUAAAUAUACUUUUUCUGGUUUCAUUUAU